ensembl:lncRNA
CCCAGUUACUGAUAGCAACAGUAGUCUAGAGGGCAAUUUUUUCUGGACUGCAACUUCAGAUAUAAUUAGUACUCUCAGGAACAAACACCCUACUCUCCCCAAGGGAAAAAGUUGGCAAAGCGAAAUGGUGGCAUCUAUCUCCUCGUUAAAACAUCAGAUUGACAAAGUCCAUGUGCUCCUCUGUUUCAAAAAGUUCCAGCUCUUUUAAACAUUGACAUUCUUAUCAUUUUGUGUGCUUGGUGCUGGCCACUGGCUAACAGUGUCUGUGUGGAUUUCUCUUUGAGUAUCUUUCCCCAUCAACUGAUAAGCGAGUCCCUCCUUGAGUUUCUGGAGGAGGGCGCUGCUUCAGAGAGAAAGCUGAGACGGGACCUCAUUUGCUUAAGUGAAUCCUCUAUGGUUUCUCUGCACUGUUCCUCCUGUGGAAAGAUCCUGUAAGGGAACCUGCUCACUUUUUUAAAGACCACCAACAUUCCAAGG